rnacentral:rRNA from 1 species
UACGAAGGGGGCUAGCGUUGCUCGGAAUCACUGGGCGUAAAGCGCACGUAGGCGGAUCUUUAAGUCAGGGGUGAAAUCCUGGAGCUCAACUCCAGAACUGCCUUUGAUACUGGGGAUCUCGAGUCCGGAAGAGGUGAGUGGAACUCCGAGUGUAGAGGUGAAAUGCGUAGAUAUUGGAAAGACCACCAAUGGCGAAGGCACUCUACUGGGCCAUUACUGACACUGAGAGACGAAAGCUAGGGGAGCAAAUGGG